GAUCCUGGCUCAGGAUGAACGCUAGCUACAGGCUUAACACAUGCAAGUCGAGGGGCAGCAUUGGAGUAGCAAUACUCAGAUGGCGACCGGCGCACGGGUGAGUAACACGUAUCCAACCUGCCGCUUACUCGGGGAUAGCCUUUCGAAAGAAAGAUUAAUACCCGAUGGUAUAAAGAGUUCGCAUGUUCUCUUUAUUAAAGAAUUUCGGUAAGCGAUGGGAUGCGUUCCAUUAGAUAGUUGGCGGGUAACGGCCCACCAAGUCUACGAUGGAUAGGGGUUCUGAGAGGAAGGUCCCCCACAUUGGAACUGAGACACGGUCCAAACUCCUACGGGGGGCAGCAGUGAGGAAUAUUGGUCAAUGGACGAGAGUCUGAACCAGCCAAGGUAGCGUGAAGGAUGACUGCCCUAUGGGUUGUAAACUUCUUUUAUAAGGGAAUAAAGUGAGGGACGUGUCCCUUUUUGUAUGUACCUUAUGAAUAAGGAUCGGCUAACUCCGUGCCAGCCGCCGC
rnacentral:rRNA from 1 species